rnacentral:snRNA from 1 species
UGCCACGAUCCACUGAGAUUC